rnacentral:rRNA from 1 species
GGACCAAGGAGUCUAGCAUGUGCGCAAGUCAUUGGGAUUAUUGUUAAACCUAAAGGCGUAAUGAAAGUAAAUAUAUAUGUAUGUAUAAAUUAAUUUUUAUAUAUAUAUAAAUAGGGAAGAUAGGUGACGGAAUAUANGCUUCGCAUUCCCGGGGCGUCGCUAACACAUUGCGAGUUGCGGCGCACCAAGAGCGUACACGCUGGGACCC